rnacentral:tRNA from 1 species
GGGGAUUUAGCUUAGCGGCAUAAGCGCCUGCCUUGCAAGCAGGCAGUCCUGAGUGAGUUCGAUCCCCG